CGCGGCUUUAACCGUACAGCACACGAUCUCGGAACAGUACUGCACUUCUGAUACUUCUGGUCACCAAAUGCGUGUCAACACCAACUGGCUGUCCUACAAUCUGACUCCAUGCGGACACCAGCUACCUGGAGAGAGCGUCAAAGUCCACAGGGCUGUCCCACAAGAUCUAUACCGCCCUACUUCAGAUGCCAGACGGUCACCUGAGCUCCUUACCGACAAGCUACAGACUGAAUCUUCUGGGAUGAAUACUGUCAUCACGGCCACCACUUUACAAACAGAGAACUUGGGCAUCAAGGAGAACUUGCCCAGGGCACAAACGGGCAGCUCAGGAGUACUGCGGUGGCGGCAAGAUACGGAACCAUCUUAGAAACUUAUCAGCUAUGCCUCUGAAGAGAUUAUUGGAUUUGCUCAUCUAUAUUCAUCCUAUCAUUUUAAAAGAAUGAGAUGCAUCCCAGUAAAUGAUCUGUGAUUACACAGGCACUACUUCCUUCAAAACCCACCUCGAAUUAUUUCAAUAAAGAACUCAUCACUUUAACUAGACAUCUUUCAAUUAAAAGAUUUACUUCUGUCUCCAA